rnacentral:rRNA from 1 species
CCUACGGGCGGCAGCAGUGGGGAAUUUUGCACAAUGCUCGCAAGACUGACGCAGCGACGCCGCGUGAAUGACGAAGGCCUUCGGGUCGUAAAGUUCUUUCGACAGGGAGGAAAGUGCAUAUAAGUAACUGUGUAUGUAUUGACGGUACCUGCAUAAGCAGCACCGGCUAACUCCGUGCCAGCAGCCGCGGUAAUACGGAGGGGGCAAGCGUUGUUCGGAGUGACUGGGCGUAAAGAGCACGUAGGCGGUGUGGUAAGUCAUUAGUAAAAGACUAGAGCUCAACUUUAGUAGGCUAGUGAUACUGUAAUACUAGAGUAUCAGAGAGGAUGGCAGAAUUCCUGGUGUAGCGGUGAAAUGCGUAGAUAUCAGGAGGAAUACCGUUAGCGAAGGCGGCAAUCUGGCUGGAAACUGACGCUGAGGUGCGAAAGCGUGGGUAGCAAACAGGAUUAGAUACCCGAGUAGUC